rnacentral:rRNA from 1 species
UACGGGAGGCAGCAGUAGGGAAUAUUGGUCAAUGGGUGCAAGCCUGAACCAGCCAUGCCGCGUGCAGGAAGAAGGCCCUAUGGGUUGUAAACUGCUUUUGCCAGGGGAUAAAAUGAGCGUGCGCGCUUAAUUGAAGGUACCUGGUGAAUAAGCCACGGCUAACUACGUGCCAGCAGCCGCGGUAAUACGUAGGUGGCAAGCGUUGUCCGGAUUUAUUGGGUUUAAAGGGUGCGUAGGCGGUCCUAUAAGUCAGUGCUGAAAUAUCCCGGCUUAACCGGGAGGGUGGCAUUGAUACUGCAGGACUUGAGUAAAGUUGAGGUUGGCGGAAUUGACGGUGUAGCGGUGAAAUGCUUAGAUAUCGUCAAGAACACCUAUUGCGAAGGCAGCUAACUAAGCUUUAACUGACGCUGAGGCACGAAAGUGUGGGGAUCAAAC